ensembl:lncRNA
CCACCGGGCGCCGUGAUAAUGCUCUUAUGAGUGAGACUGUCAUUAGAUUAAGUGGAAGAUGCCAGUAGAGUUGUUCUCGAUGGCCGGCCUCUCUUUUCUCCGCACGGCGCUCGGAGUCCAACUAUACUUUUUCUUUCACAUUUCCAUAUUGUCCCUCCUUUAUGCCUUGUCAAGAGCAUUAGUCACAGCCAUCCAUCUGCAUCAUAUAUCGCAGCCGAGACAAAGCCAGCGGGAUGUGUGGCUGCUCAGCACCCUCAGCCCCGCCGCGGCACAGGGCUCAGGUCCCUCGUGUGAACAGCAAGCAGUGGGGCAGGGAGUGAGCAUCUCACCCCGUAUGCUGCGUGGCAGUCCUUCUCCUGGAGCUGGGCUAUUGGACUCACCUCUCAUGUUUUUGCAGAAAGCACUCCUCGUCCAGUUGGGCCUAGCAAUAUGGCAGCGCACAUUCGGUAAGGAAUCUCAUCAAGUGCUGCUACGAGAUGCUGAACCCUUGCUCCUCCUGUUCUUGGUCUGAAUUUUGGGCGCUGGGAGCUCUGGAAAAGCUGAAUGCUUUUGAAGGAAGAAAUGCUGUCAGAUAGCAGAGUUGGAGCUGGGGGAAUUCUCUGGAUCGGUUCGUGAAGCGAAAGGAUCCUUUCUCUUUAAAAAUAGAAUGACAAUAGCACCCCGGCCCAGAAAUGACUCCUCUGAAAGUUAAAACAACUCUGAGGCAGUUGCUGUCUGCUUCCACCGGGCUGCCAGCGUGGAAAUGAGACCACUUCUUGCGGGAUGGGGAGGUUGAAAGAUUCGGAGCUCAACAGUCUUUUAGAAACAUGUUAGCAGAAUUGGAGUCGGGUAGAAAAAAUACAACCAUCCCCUCUCUCUGCUGAGUCACUGUCAGAAUAGACCUUCUUGGGUUUGAAGGGUUGAGGAUAAUGAGUAAUCUGGACGGAGCAGCUUUCUUCCAAGGACCUCAGAACUCUCUGCAGAUGUGCUUCUCUCUGCAAAAUGGCUCUCACUCCAUUUCUGUGAGAACUCUUCCCGCAAACUGGGUCCCUAAGAGGAUUAGUGAAGGGGAUACCAAUUUAUUUAUACUCACCUCAGCAUGGUAGCAGCCAAACACUGUAAGUUGCUGGAUUAUUAAAUGGCCUGUAACACAUGAAAGAAGCUUCAAUCUUCUGGUGCGGUUCAGAGUGGACAGGUGUUUGCUGCACAGCUGCUCUGAACUGAUCCCCAAUUUUGGCAAGGUUUUUUUUCCUUUUUGACCUGCUCACACUGGUAAGAUGAACAGGUGUGCUCGGAAACAAAUGGACUGUGGAGAUUUGGUCUCUUUUUAAGGGCAAGACCAAUUUUCAGGCCUCUUUCAGUUGUACUUCGCUGGGGGGAAGGAAUAAAAGAACUAAAGAGAGGUAUGGAGAGUUAGGGAAACCCCUCAAACUUUGUUUAAAUUACACAUUCCUGGCACUCCCAGUGCUGGGUGAUGCUGCCAUUUGUGUUUUCUUCUAUAGUGCCUGGCUUGCACGGUCCCAAGCAGAGUUAAAUGCAUGUCUAUGACCACAAGAGGAUGACGCCUCGGUUUCUCUGUGCCAGCCUGGAGGCCCUUAGGUGCUGCAGUUUAAGUCCUUGAAAAACAAGGUUGCUGGACUCUAGUAAAUAGUGUCCGGAUGUUAGCGAUGAUUCAUAAAAGCAAUUAAAAAAGGAAAGUGCCUUGCUGCUGGGCGUAAUGUCUUGAAGAUGUCCUUAAGAGUGUGUAAUGCUGCAGACAGUGGUCAGUGGGUAGUGACCGCUGUGCUUAAGAUUACCAAUCUGUUUCCAGCAUAACUCUUCUUUUCACUUGGUUCUCAUGGUCAAAACUUAUUUUUUUUUCUUUUUUUGGUAGCUGAAUUUUCCUUAUUUAGCCAUCGCUGCAAAAUAGUUCCCAUCCCUUCCUUCUUAAAUCUGUGAAGAACAUCUACUGAGAAUGUAAUAUUUUCCAUGGGAGAAAAGUGCUUUUUUGAAAUUUAAAUACUGUGGAUGGCAAAUAAUUGGAAUUCAUCAAACAUGAUUUAGCUGUGGGGUUGGGUUUUCUUUCAGUGCUACCCUCUUGCCUUACAGCCCUGACCUUCCACAAGGCGCAGAGCAGCCCACUUGUGGUGCCAUUUGCAAUAAGCAAGACAGAACUGUGUUACAACACGAUUGGGAUUCUUGCUGUGUGCAGAGAUGCCCAGAGUGGCCACACGGCCUAAGCAAGAGGUAGGCACGCUCUGCAAACAUCUCCCUGCGUGGCUUUUCCAGUCCUUAACUAACCUGUGAGCUCCCAGCCAUGCUGCUAGCUCUGCCCAUUGCAUUGACUCCUCCAGCUGGACGCCUUUUGGUUCUCUUGGUGUCUGCACGUGGUCCAGAGCUGGGGCUUGGCUCUGCUGUGCCCUUCAUUAGACCAGGCAUAUAUGCUAAGGGAAGCAAAAUAGUUUACUGAUUUAUCAUGGAUCAUUAGAUGGAGUAACUAUUCUUAAAACAUCACCAGUAUAGAUACAAUAAUUAGAGAUGUGCUUUUGUUAACAUUGCCAGCCUCUACCCUCUUGUACAGUACCCUUGGGUACUAAAUAAUUACCCACUUUGUGUGGUUAUCUAGCUCACUAAUUACCCACAAAAAUUGGGGUCAGGUGUUAACUGCUUGAAAUAAGUAUCCUCCAAAGACUUGGUUAAAUUGUGUAAAGAAAUUAUGUGUUUGCAGCAAAACUUAGGAAAAAAAAAAAAAGAAACUUUUUUUUGUUGUUGGAAGGAAAAGGGGAACACAGAAAAGACAAUGGAUGUAAAUGGUCCUCUGUGAUGGCAACAUCUUGCACACAGCUAUGGUGCUGGGGAUGGAAUCUGUAAGGGGAGAGAAAGGAUGGCUGGCGGAUACAGUCUCUCUCAUCCUCUGCUUUUCCCAUAGAUUAGAUCCCUCAGUACAUAGAGUGAUUCUUCCCCUAUCUAGGCUGGUGUCAGUCGGGGUUGUGUCGGUAUAAAUGAGAAAAUUUGUAUGCAUGGAUUCCUGGGCUGCCUUUACUGCAUAAUUCCCCCUCCUCUGUCACUCAGGGACUUCUGCAUUGCACCCAAUAAUUGAAUUAUGCAUUGUAUAUGUAUUUCCAUAUGUUUAUUUUAGUUGUUUCGAACUCUGUGUGCAUGCAGAAUCUCAUUCCAGGGCUGCUGCUCGUAAAAUGUAGCUCGCUUUGAGUAAUAAUUUAAUUCCUGCGUUCAGGGAGUUACCCCAGUGAGUCAAAGAUUUCUAGAUAGCCCCACCCUCCCCAACUUCCCGAACACUUACACUGCAGUCACUUUCUCUUUGCCAGACCCACACAAGACGCCGAGCCAGCCAAAAUCCCAGGAGGCAGCUUGUCCUGCCUGCCCCGUUUUAGCCCCAGGGAAAUAGGAAAUAAAGCCCCGAGAGCCCCGAAACCAAAGCCUGUGAAAUACCUGGCAUAGAACAGAAGGAUAUUGAAUAGCCUGGCCUCCUAACCUGGUGUCUCACACUGGGGCUCGCUGUCUGCGGCACAAAGGAAAUUGAUGUAAGUGGGAACGAAGAUGAUUCUGAAAAUCCCACUGUGCGGCCCCGGGAUCUCUGGCCGCACGGAUGCCCUUAACGCUGCAGUGCUGAGCACCUGCGCAGCGCACAGCCUAACAAAGGAGCUGCCUUAUUUAUUUAUUUCCGUGGCGGCUUUAGGUGCUUUCUCCCCUGCGGUUCCCACACAGGCAGCCUGGAUAGGGUCCGGUUCUGGGUAUGAUCGGUGCCCCCCGCCCCGUGGCUCGGGGUGGGGGGGGGUCUCAGGUGGUGCGUUCUGGCCGGGGCUGUGCCCGUCCUUAGGGGCGUACCUGCGUUCUGCAUCCCUGCAGGCAUCAGCCCUGCAGAGCACAAUGCAGAUUUAGUCGUCAUCUUUGUCUCCCCCCCCCCCGCCCCGCUCCGCUCCGCUCCCCGCUGAUGUUAACUGUCUGUAUUAUUAUUUAUUGUUAUCAAGGGAUUUGGUUUGAUCAAUGAAGUGUAUAUACGUCUGACGGACAUUCGGGGAGGAAAUGCUUGGAGAAUGAGUAACAUGUCUGCAGUGGAGGGUGUGUGUGAGGAGAGAGCAGCAUCGGUCCUAGAAACGUUGACUGAUGAGUUCAUUUUAAAAUCCAAGGGCAUCUAGCUGGUAAAUUAGCACAUAUUGCAAAUAUAGUCUGGUGCGAGAGGCAGCGGCUCUGCCAUCGAG